AAUUCUACAUCAAUAUGCUAGUAAAAAAAAUGUAAAUUAGUUAUAUGAAUAAUGGAGAAAAAUGAAUUAUGAUUAUUAAAUUUUACUUACCACAAUAUUUAUAUUUUUCGUUUCAUCUAGUAUAUUUUCUAGCGAUUGUUUUCCGUAUAGAUUGCCGAUUCCAUCGUUCCAAUAUGCGAUGUAUGAGAGAAUUUAAAUCAGUGUUAAAUGAGUAAAAUACAAAUUAUA
rnacentral:lncRNA from 1 species